CCAACCACGAUUUCUUAGAGUUUGUGUGGCAUACAUGGCUGGUUCUUUUUGCGGUUGUGUUAGGCCCAACCACGAUUUCUAAGAGUUUGUGUGGCAGACAUGGCUGGUUCUUUUUGGUGCGCAGUUUAUGAGACAGGCUUCCUUGUGCUGCUACUCUUAGUAGUGGGGUAUUCUUGGUUCUGUUUUUCUUGAUUUUGGUUGUGUUUUGUUUUGUUGAUUUGCUUACUAGUUACACUUGAGGAUGAA
rnacentral:lncRNA from 1 species